rnacentral:rRNA from 1 species
GACGAACGCUGGCGGCGUGCUUAACACAUGCAAGUCGAACGGUGAAGCUCCAGCUUGCUGGAGUGGAUCAGUGGCGAACGGGUGAGUAACACGUGAGCAACCUGCCCCUGACUCUGGAAUAAGCGCUGGAAACGGCGUCUAAUACUGGAUACGAGAAGGGUCCGCAUGGGCACUUUCUGGAAAGUUUUUCGGUUGGGGAUGGGCUCGCGGCCUAUCAGCUUGUUGGUGAGGUAAUGGCUCACCAAGGCGACGACGGGUAGCCGGCCUGAGAGGGCGACCGGCCACACUGGGACUGAGACACGGCCCAGACUCCUACGGGAGGCAGCAGUGGGGAAUAAUGCACAAUGGGCGAAAGCCUGAUGCAGCGACGCCGCGUGAGGGAUGACGGCCUUCGGGUUGUAAACCUCUUUCAGCAGGGAAGAAGCGAAAGUGACGGUACCUGCAGAAGAAGCACCGGCUAACUACGUG